AACGUAGGUUCCGAGCGUUAUCCGGAUUUACUGGGCGUAAAGCGCGUUCAGGCGGUUUGGCAAGUCGGGCAUGAAAUCUCUCGGCUCAACCGGGAGAGGUUGUCCGAUACUGCUGGACUUGAGGGCAGUAGAGGGUGGUGGAAUUCCGGGUGUAGUGGUGAAAUGCGUAGAUAUCCGGAGGAACACCAGUGGCGAAAGCGGCCACCUGGACUGCACCUGACGCUGACACGCGAAAGCGAGGGGAGCGAACGGG
rnacentral:rRNA from 1 species